rnacentral:rRNA from 1 species
AUACGGAGGAUCCGAGCGUUAUCCGGAUUUAUUGGGUUUAAAGGGUGCGCAGGCGGCCAUUUAAGUCAGAGGUUAAAUCGUGGGGCUCAACCCCAUUCUGCCGUUGAUACUGGGUGGCUUGAUUGCGGCCGUGGUUGGCGGGAUUCGUUGUGUCGCGGGGGAAUGCAUUGAUAUGACGAAGAACAUCGAUUGCGUAGGCAGCUGACCAGACCGCAAAUGACGCUCAUGCACGAAAGUGCGGGGAUCGAACAGGAUUAGAUACCCUGGUAGUCCGCACAGUAAACGAUGAAUACUUGUUUUCGGCGAUAUAAUGUCGGAGGCAAAGCGAAAGCGAUAAGUAUUCCACCUGGGGAGUACGCCGGCAACGGUGAAACUCAAAUGAAUUGACGGGG